rfam:Musca domestica strain aabys unplaced genomic scaffold Scaffold18823, whole genome shotgun sequence.
GUAUGUGAUGAUAACUUUAAUCUGAAUGAAUUCCAUGACGAUCACACAUUCAAAUUAAACCAAAAGGAUUCUGACAUAC